rnacentral:misc_RNA from 1 species
UCAAAACUUCUGAAGAACAACGCUCACAUGCAACUGAAUUAGAAUAUAAAAUCUUGAAAAAAAGGACCAAGAGCACAUCAACAAACAAGGAAACUGGACAUUCAUAUGAUGACAAUAAAGUUCCAGGAGAAAUGCAGCCUGAUAUAAAGAAGCACAGUGCAAGGAGAAUGGAUGUCAAGGAUCGACUGCAAUUUAAAAGAAAGAGAGCUAAGGCACCAAACCCACUUUCAUGCAAGAAGAAAAAG